UCUGGGUCUACAGGUCACAAGCUGAAAAUGCAGCUCUGUGACCAGGGAAAAGGACUUCAGCUGUUCCCUGCUGAUGACCAAUGAGCUUUGAAUGACGGUUGAUAUAACUUGGGUGACGAGGUUUCUGAAUUACAGCUUUCGUCUGGAUAUCUCAAGGAGCUUGCAGGACUGCCGUUGAAGGACACUGGAGAUGUCCCCCCUUGAGUCUGCAAGGAGUGUCCGAUGAGAGAACCGCAGCAGCUGCUUGGGGCCCUCCUGCCCAGCAGUGAAAGACUGACCAGUACAAGCAUUUACACUGUUAUCCUGGGGCACGUCUGUCUCCGGAGGCAACGUGAAGGCACGAAGGAGCAUCCCCUUUGAAGGAGGAGGGUCAGUGCAGUGAGGACAACGACAGAGGAGCCCCACAAGCCAUUAGGUCUCCUCUGCCUGAGGUGGAUUAAGAAGGCCUCAGAUGUGGGUGCUCUCCCGAGGAUAAGUUUCCAUCUGAGACAUCUCCAGACCUAGGAGCUGAGCCCUCUGCUCCACCAGUGCCUCUCCUGCUCUCCUGUGUCCUGCAGGUGCCCUGUGGCGGCGGUCAGCAUUCCCCUGGUGAGCAGCACCAGGGCUUUGGCCCUCCUGUGGCAACAGAUUGGUGUUUGUCAUGCUCUGAGUGUAGUUACUGUUUUGGAGCCUGCUGGUGAGACAAGCCUACAUUUCGGUGCUGCAGUGAUUGACAAGGCGGUGCUAGGUGCUGAGGUGAUCCAGGAAAACUUCAGUACCUGUGGGACUGACUGGCAGCUGAGUGGCAGCCUUGAGCUUGCUGUUAGCAUAUAAAUGAUGGUCUUAGGUAAGCAAAAUGAUCAAUAGGUGCCAAAAUAGCUUUAAGGAUAUGUUCUCAGUUCUUCCUGGUGAAAGCCCAAACUCAAAGGUGAAACUUCUGUUGUGGAUGUAAAGAUAGGGCCAGAGACUGCUCAGAGGACAACAGCUUU